UACGUAGGGUGCGAGCGUUAAUCGGAAUUACUGGGCGUAAAGCGUGCGCAGGCGGUUUUGUAAGCCAGAUGUGAAAUCCCCCGGGCUUAACCUGGGAAUGGCAUUUGGGACUGCAAGGCUCGAGUGCGGCAGAGGAGACUGGAAUUCCUGGUGUAGCAGUGAAAUGCGUAGAUAUCAGGAGGAACACCGAUGGCGAAGGCAGGUCUCUGGGCCGAUACUGACGCUGAGGAGCGAAAGCGUGGGGAGCGAACAGG
rnacentral:rRNA from 1 species